UACCAAGUGAGCUUCCCUGGCUGCAGCAGUCCUCUGCUGGCACCCGACCCCUUCAACACACACACAGACAGCCCUGCGCCCUUGGAUCUGAGGCAUCAUCCAGAGCUCAGCUCAGUUCCUAGUACACGAACCGCACAGAUCCGUAUCUGGCAUCUCCGUCUGAUGACAGUAGCAGCUGCACCAACCAUCUGAAUGGCCCAGAAGAUGGAAGCCUGAAGGAGAGAAUAGCGCCCUGAGACUGUCUGUGCCUUCUGCAUUGAACCUCAGCUUCUGAGGCCACCUACUGGAGAUUGCUGCCAAUUUCCAGAACAGAAAAUCCAAGUCCACUCUCCAGCCGUCUUCAAGCCAGGAAGCUGUGAGAGGAACACUUUCAUUGUUGCUUUUUCUUCCAAUGAGAUCACCUUUCAACUUAGCAUUCAUGCCUGCCUUCUGGACUUCUGAGGACUAUGAGAAUGUUGAUAAGGUGAAUGCAACCAUAAAGGCUGAAGCCGCCCAUCUGGAGGCUCCUCUGUCCUCCACAGUGGCCUUGAUAAUAGUGUUGAUAAUUAUUUUCUCAUUGGUAAUGACCUCCUUUGUGACAUACUGUUUUCACAAGUGGAGGCUGAAGGGCCGCAAGCUGCAGAGAGCGCAGGAAGAGUAUCAAAGAGAUCAGGAGAAAAAUAUAUUUCAUAGCUUUCCUGAUCUUAUUUCCUAAAAACGCAGUCAACUGACAUGUGAAGUGUACCAUCUGUGACAAAGCCACGUAACAUAAUAUGACAAGAAAUGAAACAACAUGAAAUUGCAAGAAAGAAAGAAAUUGGGCAUGAAACAAUAAAAAGGGACAUAAUAUGAAAUAAAACCCUGGGCAACAAAAUGACAUACUGCAGAACAACAUGAAGAGAAAGGACAGAAGAAUGACAAUUGUACAGUGAAUUCCAAAAGCAAGAGUUCAUGUUGUAGCUGAUCUGUUAAUCAAGCUGUUCAUUGUUUGAAAGCUGUCUAUGGUUUUAUUACAGGUUAUAAGCAACUUGGUAGUAGGUUUCUUUUUGUCGUUGUUUUGUUGUACAGUGAAAGCAAAGCUAUCACACAUUUCCCACCUACAUUUUAUUUACUCUUCAUCUUUGAUUUGGUGGUGGGUGUGAGUAAAUAGAAGUUCUGUACUGCUCAUUUACUUACCGAGGCCGGGCAGCUGAAUACACAGAUAGGAAUGUUGUUUAGUAUCAGGCUCAUAAUGUAGUAAUAUCUGUCAUGAAGAUGAGAAAAAGUAAGUCUAUAAUCUUGGCACAUGUAGCUGAUAUUUUAAGUACUGACUAUAGCAAAGUAAGUAAAUGUGCUGAAUUAUAAGCAAUGUGUGUGGUUUUUUUUUUUAUUUAAAGGGAGAGGAAAAAAGAGAACCAACUCCCAAAUGACCAAUUACCCCAUUUCCCUGAAGUUCCCUGAAGUUUUUCUUAAGUAAUGGCUUGCCUGAAGUUAAUAUUAAUUAAUGUUGUCCAUGUUUGAAGCAGAAUUAGUAUGUGAUAAUAGUGCUGUAUGUAUACUUGUUUUGAUAAGACAAAGUUGUCAUUAUAAUGUGAAUGAGAUCAUUUUAAGGCUUAUGUGUUCAAGUAGUGUUGACAAUUGAAAUCUGAAAAUUUUCUGGAUGUUGUAAAUGAAAUCUACUAAGUAAUAUAUAGAUUUAUUAUAGAAUGUAUUGUGGAACAUACCAGUUAUUGGAUAUGAAAGCAAAUAAGCAAGCAGUCAUACUUUAAAUAUAUGCAUUAUAAAUAAAAUGCUAGUAUUUGGAUGCUAA